rnacentral:rRNA from 1 species
GACGAACGCUGGCGGCGUGCUUAACACAUGCAAGUCGAACGAUGAAGCCGGAGCUUGCUCUGGUGAAUUAGUGGCGAACGGGUGAGUAACACGUGAGUAACCUGCCCUUGACUCUGGGAUAACUGCGGGAAACUGUAGCUAAUACCGGAUACGACCCUCGGAGGCAUCUCCUGGGGGUGGAAAGAAUUUCGGUCAAGGAUGGACUCGCGGCCUAUCAGCUAGUUGGUGAGGUAAAGGCUCACCAAGGCGACGACGGGUAGACGGCCUGAGAGGGUGACCGGCCACACUGGGACUGAGACACGGCCCAGACUUCUACGGGAGGCAGCAGUGGGGAAUAUUGCACAAUGGGCGCAAGCCUGAUGCAGCAACGCCGCGUGAGGGAUGACGGCCUACGGGUUGUAAACCUCUUUUAGCAGGGAAGAAGCGAAAGUGACGGUACCUGCAGAAAAAGCACCGGCUAACUACGUGCCAGCAGCCGCCGUAA